rnacentral:rRNA from 1 species
UACGUAGGUGGCAAGCGUUGUUCGGAAUUACUGGGCGUAAAGCGCGUGUAGGCGGCUCUUCAAGUCAGACGUGAAAGCCCCGGGCUUAACUCGGGAACUGCGUUUGAUACUGUCGAGCUAGAGUGUGGAAGGGGCGAUUGGAAUUCCGUGUGUAGCGGUGAAAUGCGCAGAUAUCAGGAGGAACACCAAUGGCGAAGGCAGCUCGCUGGGACGGUACUGACGCUGAGACGCGAAAGCGUGGGGAGCAAACAGG